AUUGAACGCUGGCGGCAGGCCUAACACAUGCAAGUCGAACGAGUGGCGGACGUGUGAGUAAUGUCUGGGCAACUGCCCGAUGGCGGGGGAUAACUACUUGAAACGGUAGCUAAUCCCGCAUACCUUCGGAUGUGCCCAGAUGGGAUUAGCGAGUAGGUGGGGUAACGGCUCACAUAGGCGACGCGCCCUAGCUGGUCUGAGAGGAGGACCAGACACAAUGGAAAUGAGACACGGUACAGACUCAUACGGGAGGAAGCAGGGGGGAAUAUUGCACAAUGGGCGCAAGCCUGAUGCAGACAUGCCGAGUGAAUGAAGAAGGCCUUCGGAUUGUAAAGUACUUGCAGCGAGGAGGCGUUACUCGCAGAAGAAGCACCGGCUAACUCCGUGCCAGCCGCCGCGGUAAUAC
rnacentral:rRNA from 1 species